rnacentral:lncRNA from 1 species
AAAAAAACAUUCUUAUUCUCUAAAUCACUCUCACUUUCAUCUUCAACCCCCUCCUCACCAUCUUCUUCAACACUACUAUUUAAACCCUCAUCACUCUCUUUUAACCUUUCAAUAGAUGCAUCUAAACCAUCAACACCUUCAACCUCACCACCCUCACCACCUUGACUACCAACAACCUCAACACCCUCCCCACCUAAACUUUCAC